rnacentral:lncRNA from 1 species
AACAGUAAUAAAUGGCAAAAGACAAGGAUUGGAAACAGAACGGUUUUUGUAAUUUGGCUAUAAAAAAGCCACAAUAUCUCUUUGUACUUUUUUUACGAACACCCAUCGAUAAAUCGAAAAUCAGAAACUGAAGCUCCAAAAGGUUGUUCUUCUUUAAAAAAAUUGUUAUCUUCGUUCUCUUUUUCAUAGUUUUUGUUUUUUUUUCUUUUCUUUUAUUUCAAAUCUAUUUAAAAGUAAUUAAAAAACAAAAAAAAGGACAAAGGAAGGUUACCUGAAUCGGCCCCUAGGCCUGCCGUCGAUGGUGAUUCACCGUCGCCGGAUGUGGGUUCAAGGAGGGGCCGAAGUUCUUCUCUUUCCCCUCGUCUCUUCGUUCCAUGGCCUCGUCCCAUGAGCGCGUUUCAAGGCGCCGAUAGGAGCCCUCUUCGCACAGCUCCGAUCACCGGGCGGUGGGGAGGCGUGACGGCGGCGACUGGGCCUGGAACCCAAGCAGAAAAAGGGAGACCUACCUUUUAUUUUUUUUAUUUAUUUAUUUUUUGUGUUUUUGCAAGGGAAUGAAACUGCAGAAAGUUUUUUUGUUGUUGUUGUUUUUUAGCUUUUAAGGUAAUUAAAUUGGUGCCGUUUGAAGGAGUCGGACCGGCGCACUCAUGCCCUA